rnacentral:rRNA from 1 species
GACGAACGCUGGCGGCGUGCUUAACACAUGCAAGUCGAACGGAAAGGCCCUGCUUUUGUGGGGUGCUCGAGUGGCGAACGGGUGAGUAACACGUGAGUAACCUGCCCUUGACUUUGGGAUAACUUCAGGAAACUGGGGCUAAUACCGGAUAGGAGCUCCUGCUGCAUGGGGGGGGUUGGAAAGUUUCGGCGGUUGGGGAUGGACUCGCGGCUUAUCAGCUUGUUGGUGGGGUAGUGGCUUACCAAGGCUUUGACGGGUAGCCCGCCUGAGAGGGUGACCGGGCACAUUGGGACUGAGAUACGGCCCAGACUCCUACGGGAGGCAGCAGGGGGGAAUAUUGCGCAAUGGGCGGAAGCCUGAUGCAGCAACGCCGCGUGCGUGAUGACGGCCUUCGGGUUGUAAACCGCUGUCGCCUGUGACGAAGCGUGAGUGACGGUAAUGGGUAAAGAAGCACCGGCUAACUACGUG